rnacentral:rRNA from 1 species
GACGAACGCUGGCGGCGUGCUUAACACAUGCAAGUCGAACGGAAAGGCCCUGCUUGCCGGGUACUCGAGUGGCGAACGGGUGAGUAACACGUGGGUGAUCUGCCCUGCACUUCGGGAUAAGCUUGGGAAACUGGGUCUAAUACCGGAUAGGAGCCAUCUUUAGUGUGGUGGUUGGAAAGUUUUUUCGGUGUAGGAUGAGCUCGCGGCCUAUCAGCUUGUUGGUGGGGUAAUGGCCUACCAAGGCGGCGACGGGUAGCCGGCCUGAGAGGGUGUACGGCCACAUUGGGACUGAGAUACGGCCCAGACUCCUACGGGAGGCAGCAGUGGGGAAUAUUGCACAAUGGGCGCAAGCCUGAUGCAGCGACGCCGCGUGGGGGAUGAAGGCCUUCGGGUUGUAAACUCCUUUCGCUAGGGACGAAGCUUUUUGUGACGGUACCUAGAUAAGAAGCACCGGCUAACUACGG